GAUGAACGCUGGCGGCGUGCCUAAUACAUGCAAGUCGAGCGAACAGACGAGGAGCUUGCUCCUCUGACGUUAGCGGCGGACGGGUGAGUAACACGUGGAUAACCUACCUAUAAGACUGGGAUAACUUCGGGAAACCGGAGCUAAUACCGGAUAAUAUAUUGAACCGCAUGGUUCAAUAGUGAAAGACGGUUUUGCUGUCACUUAUAGAUGGAUCCGCGCCGCAUUAGCUAGUUGGUAAGGUAACGGCUUACCAAGGCAACGAUGCGUAGCCGACCUGAGAGGGGGAACCGCCCCACUGGAAAUGAGACACGGUCCCGACUCCUAAGGGGGGCAGCAGUGGGGAAUAUUGGCGAAUGGGGGGAAGCCUGAACGAGCAAUACCGCGGGGGGGAAGAAGGGCUUCGGGUUGUAAAACCCUUUUUUUGGGGAAAAAAAAAAGGUGGAAAAAACCCCGCUGUUCUGACGGUACCCAAAGAAAAAGCCCCGGCUAACUUCGUG
rnacentral:rRNA from 1 species